UACGUAGGGUGCGAGCGUUGCCCGGAUUUAUUGGGCGUAAGGGCGCGUCGGCGGCUCGGCACGUCCGUUGUGAAAUCGCCCGGCUCAACUGGGCGGGGUCAGCGGAUACGGUCGAGCUUGAGCAAGCUAGGGGGUAAUGGAAUUCCCGGUGUAGUGGUGGAAUGCGUAGAUAUCGGGAAGAACACCCGUGGCGAAGGCGGCUCUCUGGUACGUGACUGACGCUGAGACGCGAAAGCGUGGGGAGCAAACAGG
rnacentral:rRNA from 1 species